rnacentral:misc_RNA from 1 species
GAUGAAGAACGUAGCGAAAUGCGAUAAGUAAUGUGAAUUGCAGAAUUCAGUGAAUCAUCGAAUCUUUGAACGCACAUUGCGCCCCUUGGUAUUCCGAGGGGCAUGCCUGUUCGAGCGUCAUUUCAACCCUCAAGCACAGCUUGGUCUUGGGCUUCGCCGCUAACCCGGCGGGUCUUAAAAUCAGUGGCGGUGCCGUCGGGCCCUGAGCGCAGUAAUCUCUCUCGCUAUAGGGUCCCGGCGGAUGCUGGCCAGUAACCCCCAAUUUUCUAUGGUUGACCUCGGUUCAGGUAGGGAUACCCGCUGAACUUAAGCAUAUCAAUAAGCGGAGGA